rnacentral:rRNA from 1 species
CAAUAGCGUAUAUUAAAGUUGUUGCAGUUAAAAAGCUCGUAGUUGGAUUUGUGGCGUACGGUGUGUUCCGGGCACUUGUUGUCUGAGUAACCUGCUGUUGCCAUCCUUGGGUGGAACCUGUGUGGCAUUAGGUUGUCGUGCAGGGGAUGCCCAUCAUUUACUGUGAAAAAAUUAGAGUGUUCAAAGCAGGCUUAUGCCGUUGAAUAUAUUAGCAUGGAAUAAUGAGAUAGGACUUUUUUGCUAUUUUGUUGGUUUGCGCAAGAAGGUAAUGAUUAAUAGGGACAGUUGGGGGUAUUCGUAUUCCAUUGUCAGAGGUGAAAUUCUUGGAUUUUUGGAAGACGAACUACUGCGAAAGCAUUUACCAAGGAUGUUUUCAUUAAG